AUCUUAGCCAAAAGGCCGAG
rnacentral:snRNA from 1 species